UUCCAUUAUCUCUGUCAUUUCUGGAUCUGUUUUUCUUCUGUCAUGGGUUUCAUUUUCCCACUUCUUUACAUAUCUAACUUGUGACUGAGCUGAACAUUCAUUUGUUGAGUGGAUUUUGUUUUCUUUUAAGACAGCAUUGAAUGUUGAGGAGGUCUGUUUGGUUUUUAGAAGGCAGUUAAGUUAGCUGUGAAUCAGCUUAUUCCUUUCAAGCCUUGUUUUUAAGUUUGUUAAGUUGGGUCUCUCAUACUGACUAUUCCAAGGGCUAGUCUAGCCCACUCCUAAGACAUCAUAUUCCAUGGUCUCUUCUGAAUACUCUGGAUAUUCAGUGAUUUCCUUCCCCUGUGGCUGGUAAAAACUCCAAUGGCUCUCAGCCCUGUGUGACCUCUAAAUUGCUAGGCUGAUCCCCACUAGCUGUUCUUCGCUCAGUCUCUAAAUUUCACCAUGCCUGCUAAGUUGCUUCAGUCGUAUCUGACUCUGCAACCCCAUGGACUGUGGCCCGCCAGCCUCCUCUGUCCAUGGGAUUCUCCAGGCAGGAAUACUGGAGUGGGUUGCCAUUUCCUCCUCCAGGAGAUCUUGCCGACCCAGGGAUCGAAUCCGGGUCUUCUACAUUGCAGGUGGAUUCUUUACUGUCUGAGCUACCAGGGAAGCCCAAAUUUCACCAUAUUCAGGCACAAUUCAGUGUUCAGCCCCAAAUCCAAGAGAAGACUGGUGCAUAUUUCUCAAGAUCAUUCUGUGGCUCUUUUCUCCUUAGUGGUUUGAUGCAUAAAUUCCAACCACUUAAAUGUCCCUCUACCCUAGUCUCUGUUUCCUCAACUCAGCAACACCACUGUCCUUUAAUUGAAUUUUCCUUCCUUGGAACCUCUGAAAACUGCCUUAAAGGCAGAAGUAGGGGAAAAUAGAAGGUUUGUUCGUUUCCCUUCUCCCAGGAAUCUGUCUUGUUCUGCCUGCUGUACACUGUCUGAAAACACUUGUUUUACAUAGUUUGUCCAAUUUUCCAGUUCUUUAUGGAAGGAGAGCAAGUUCAGCACCAGUUACUCCAUAGUUGUCAGAGGUUCAAAUUAUCUAAUUUUUAAAGUCUUAUUAUUACUUUUUUUUUUUUUUAGCAUACCUCAUAACAAUAUGAAGAGAAUCCUUCUGGUUGAGAACUAAAAAUUUAAUAUGCUGGGAAAGAUUGAAGGCAGGGGAAGAGGAUGACAGAGGAGAAGAUGGCUGGAUGGCAUCACUGACUCAAUGGAUACAAGUUUGAGCAAGCUUCGGGAGUUGGUGAUGGACAGGGAAGCCUGGCAUGCUGCAGUCCAUGGGGUUGCAAACAGUUGGAUGGGACUGAGCGACUGAACUGAACUGAAUUCUGGCCUCAAGUAUAUGCUUGUUGCUAAAGCAACUUAGAAGUGACUAGACUGCCUCAUGAAAUGAUAACAGUCAUGUGAUGGUGAAAUAAUUA